UACGAAGGGGGCUAGCGUUGCUCGGAAUCACUGGGCGUAAAGGGUGCGUAGGCGGGUCUUUAAGUCAGGGGGUGAAAUCCUGGAGCUCAACUCCAGAACUGCCUUUGAUACUGAGGAUCUUGAGUUCGGGGAGAGGUGAGUGGAACUGCGAGUGUAGAGGUGAAAUCGUAGAUAUUCGCAAGAACACCAGUGGCGAAGGCGUCUCACUGGCCCGAUACUGACGCUGAGGCACGAAAGCGUGGGGAGCAAACAGG
rnacentral:rRNA from 1 species